UACGAAGGGGGCUAGCGUUGCUCGGAAUCACUGGGCGUAAAGGGUGCGUAGGCGGGUCUUUAAGUCAGGGGUGAAGUACCUGGAGCUCAACUCCAGAACUGCCUUUGAUACUGAGGAUCUUGAGUUCGGGGGAGGUGAGUGGAACUGCGAGUGUAGAGGUGAAAUUCGUAGAUAUUCGCAAGAACACCAGUGGCGAAGGCGGCUGUCUGGUCCGGUUCUGACGCUGAGGCGCGAAAGCGUGGGGAGCAAACAGG
rnacentral:rRNA from 1 species